CACAGGAGUUAUGCACAAAAGCCCUGAAGAAUAAAGAAUUCAUUUAUGAAGAUAAAUAUUUUAUCCAGCAUAUUAGACAACUGACUCAAGUGUCAUCUUAGCUCUGGCUACCUCAGUAGAGCAGAGGCUGACCAGGUGUUUACACUAGGGUCUAAAGUAAGUUUCUUUUUAUUUAAAAGUAGGAAUACUGGGCCCUGAUAUUGGCUAGCAGGACCAGUCUUACAAUUAAGAGUGAGGAGAUCUGCCUCAGGUAAUAUG
rnacentral:lncRNA from 1 species